AACGAACGCUGGCGGCAGGCCUAACACAUGCAAGUCGAGCGCGCCUUUCGGGGUGAGCGGCGGACGGGUUAGUAACGCGUGGGAAUAUACCCUUUUCUACGGAAUAGCCUCUGGAAACGGAGAGUAAUACCGUAUGAGCCCUUCGGGGGAAAGAUUUAUCGGGAAAGGAUUAGCCCGCGUUAGAUUAGGUAGUUGGUGGGGUAAUGGCCUACCAAGCCUACGAUCUAUAGCUGGUUUUAGAGGAUGAUCAGCAACACUGGGACUGAGACACGGCCCAGACUCCUACGGGAGGCAGCAGUGGGGAAUCUUGGACAAUGGGGGCAACCCUGAUCCAGCCAUGCCGCGUGAGUGAUGAAGGCCUUAGGGUCGUAAAGCUCUUUCGCCUGUGAAGAUAAUGACGGUAGCAGGUAAAGAAACCCCGGCUAACUCCGUGCCAGCCGCCGCCGUAACAC
rnacentral:rRNA from 1 species